UCAAAUCAUAAAUCUCAUAAGUCACAACUUAUUACAAAAUAACAAAUUAUAUUGGUCACAAACUAAAAAACUUUGGGUUUACACAUUAUAUAUUGAUCAUAAUUUAUCUAUUUUAUUGGCUAGAUAUUGCUUAUUGAUCACAUAUUAACCAAUUUCCUCGUCACAAUCAAUCAAAUAAUUUGUUGCUCCACUGCCUCGACUGCACCACCGUCAACACCAUCGUCGCAGGAACCACAACCACAAUCUCAAUCAAACCAACACCCACCACUACUUCACAACCACUGCGACGGUAGCGACCAUUGCCACCACCAUCCAAAAUCACUACAUAACCACCACAAAAUACCACCAAUCGCAAAAAACCACCUGCAAACACCACCAACUACAGUGAAAUUUGAAUAUGUAUCCAUAAUCGUCACCACCAUCACCACCAACACCAAAUUUUCUCUCAUAAGCAGUGGCAGUGCCUCCAAACUAUGUCCACCAUCUCAAACAAACCACCACCAACAAUUGCAAAACACAAGUUAAAGAUAGUCUUGGUGCAUCUUACUCUUUUUGGGCUUUAACCAGACAAAACCUGAAGCCGCAAUAGCAAUCUAAAAGCGGUGAUUUGAGAUAUGUGAAUUCUUCACGGACAGCGAAGAGCGUCGUUGAGGUGAUUGGACGCUGGCGACGUCUUCGUACCGCUAUGCGCACCAUAUUCCACGCGGCGCUGCUGUAAGCACUGAUCGAUUAGUUGAAAUAGAGAGGAGUUGGGUAUGGAGAUAAAUACAGAUAGAAUAUAGAGAGAAAUGUAGAAGAGAGAU
rnacentral:lncRNA from 1 species